rnacentral:rRNA from 1 species
GAUGAACGCUAGCGGCAGGCUUAAUACAUGCAAGUCGUGGGGCAGCAUGAGUAGCAAUACUUGAUGGCGACCGGCAAACGGGUGAGGAACACGUACACAACCUUCCUUCAAGCGGGGAAUAGCCCAGAGAAAUUUGGAUUAAUACCCCAUAAUAUAUUUGAUAAGGCAUCUUAUUAAUAUUAAAGCUUCGGCACUUGAUGAUGGGUGUGCGGCUGAUUAGAUAGUUGGCGGGGUAACGGCCCACCAAGUCUACGAUCAGUAGCUGAUGUGAGAGCAUGAUCAGCCACACGGGCACUGAGACACGGGCCCGACUCCUACGGGAGGCAGCAGUAAGGAAUAUUGGACAAUGGACGAAAGUCUGAUCCAGCCAUGCCGCGUGAAAGGAUUAAGGUCCUCUGGAUUGUAAACUUCUUUUAUAUGGGACGAAAAAGGGCAUUCUUGUUCACUUGACGGUACCAUAUGAAUAAGCACCGGCUAACUCCGUGCCAG